rnacentral:rRNA from 1 species
UACGUAGGGUGCGAGCGUUGUCCGGAAUUAUUGGGCGUAAAGAGCUCGUAGGCGGCUCGGUAAGUCGGGUGUGAAACCUCCAGGCUCAACCUCGAGACGCCGAUGGAAACCAUCGAACUAGAGUCCGGAAGAGGAGAGUGGAAUUCCUGGUGUAGCGGUGAAAUGCGCAGAUAUCAGGAAGAACACCCGUGGCUAAGGCGGCUCUCUAGUACGGUACUGACGCUGAGACGCGAAAGCGUGGGGAGCGAACAGG